rnacentral:lncRNA from 1 species
UCAUCUUCUGAUCAAUGUGGCUAUUUGGAUUUGAAGGGGUUUGUAACUUUUGCUCCAAUUUCUCCUGUUAACUUUUAGGCGACUCACCUUCAUCUAAAGGAGUGUGCUUUCUUGGUGUCCUCAACCUCCUAAGAUUUGGAUCUCACAGUCUGAACCCAAGUAGCCCUUAUUAUUAUGUUGUUUGUCUUAUAGAUUAAUAAAUAUUAUAGCGCCUAGAUAUUGACCUGUUUGAUCCCUGGAUACCAAGAGCUAGAAAUGUAAGAUUGUAUUCUGACCAAUUAAUGGUGCCCAAGUCUCUGAGUUGUUGUCAUCUUACUUUGCUUCUUUGGUUUGUCAGACUGGUGGAACAUGAGAUUAAAUUUGAUAACUUCCAUGAAUUGGAGGUUGUAUGAUUUGAAAUAGUCCUUUCCAUUUUCUUCACUGAAAUUUCUAGGCAGCCAGAGCAUAUUGUUAGUAUGUAAAGACAACAAGGUGAGCUGGAACAUUAAAUCUUGUUUGUUGCUAUGGACAGAUUAAUCAAACUGAUUGCAUCACUUGAUAAUUUUCUCUUGCAUUCCCUCAAAAUUUCCAGUUAUCACUGAAGUUUACUUGCUGUAGUCUCCACAUAAUUGUUGCUAAAUGAUUCUGUUACCUGCUGAAUGGUUAAGAUGCUACUUUCAGGAAAUGCUGGAUGUAGAUCUACUUUAAGAAAAACAUUCUAGGUUAGAAAAGCCAUUGAGAACUUCUUCUAUAUGGCUAAUGCAUGCUUCUCUAACCAAAUGGAAAAGUAUGUUCUUAGUUUAUUGAUGGAGUACCUUACAGUAAACUAUUUGGUAGUUGACUGUGUUAGCAUUACUUGAAAAAAUGACAGGAUGAGUUGACAGGACAGUUAGGUGGAAAGCCCAAGAGUAAAAUAUCAUAUCAGGUUGCAGGUUUGAUUUUGAGCUACAAACCUUUAUAUCUAGACCUGCUUCUUGUUUCUUCUCAAUUCAUGGAUGAAGAAUGUUGUCAACAGAGCUUUAUCUGGUCCAGUUGAAGGAUUUAUUUUCUUGCAGUUUGACUUCAGGUCUUUAUUGCAGUUCGACUUCAGCUCAGAAUCUUUAAACAAAAAGUAGAGAAUUGAUAAAACUGUCUGGUUAAAUAAAUUCCUGAUUGAAAUGGGGCAUUCCGAGAAUCGAACUCGG